GGCGGCGUCGCCAAGCGGCAAGGCACAGGUCGGCAAAACCUUUAUCGCGGGUUCGAGUCCCGCCGCCGCCG
rnacentral:tRNA from 1 species